rnacentral:tRNA from 1 species
GCGGACGUCGUAUAGUGGCUAUUAUACGUGCUUGCCAAGCAUGAGACGGGGGUUCAAUUCCCCUCGUCCGCUCCA